rnacentral:rRNA from 1 species
ACGGAGGGUGCAAGCAUUAAUCGGAUUUAUUGGGCGUAAAGGGCGCGUAGGCGGGGAUGUAAGUCAGAUGUGAAAUCCUGGGGCUCAACCUCAGAACUGCAUUUGAAACUACAUCUCUAGAGGGUAGAAGGAGAAAACGGAAUUCCACAAGUAGCGGUGAAAUGCGUAGAUAUGUGGAAGAACACCGGUGGCGAAGGCGGUUUUCUAUUUUAUUCCUGACGCUAAAGCGCGAAAGCAAGGGGAUCAAACAGG